rnacentral:rRNA from 1 species
AUUGAACGCUGGCGGCAGGCUUAACACAUGCAAGUCGAACGGUAGCAGGGAAGUGCUUGCACUUUUGCUGACGAGUGGCGGACGGGUGAGUAAUGCUUGGGAAUCUGGCUUAUGGAGGGGGAUAACUGUGGGAAACUGCAGCUAAUACCGCGUAUAAUCGGGAGAUGAAAGACUGGGAGCGAAAGUCCAGUUGCCAUAAGAUGAGCCCAAGUGGGAUUAGGUAGUUGGUGGGGUAAAGGCCUACCAAGCCGUCGAUCUCUAGCUGGUCUGAGAGGAUGGCCAGCCACACUGGGACUGAGACACGGCCCAGACUCCUACGGGAGGCAGCAGUGGGGAAUAUUGCGCAAUGGGGGGAACCCUGACGCAGCCAUGCCGCGUGAAUGAAGAAGGCCUUCGGGUUGUAAAGUUCUUUCGGUGGUGAGGAAGGCGAUUAGUUUAAUAGGCUAAUUGAUUGACGUUAACCACAGAAGAAGCACCGGCUAACUCCGU